AAUAAAUAAAUAAAUAAAUAAAUAACAUCUUUAAAAAAAAAAACCAACAACAAAACCCAAAACAGUGCGCAGGUCAUAGUAAGCCUUUAGUAUUUGUCAAAUAAACGAAUGGAAGACUUUAUAAUGAACGGAGAUGGGUCAUCUUGCACUAAUUAAAAUGAGAAGCCCACUAGCCCUAAGAUAACAACUUGGUGGGAUCCCUAAACUUGAUGGAAAAACAAUAAAAACUUCCCCCAAAUUUUGGGCAGAAAAUGCAAAGUUAAAUAACUUUCCAAAAUCUUGAUAACCAAGACAGCUUUGAACUUAGCAGGGCAACAGUCAAGUCCCGAGACAAUGGAAUGAAAACCGCAGAGUUGAGGGAAUGAGAGGCUCCCAGGACUCCUGAAGCCCAGAAGACAAUGGAAGGAAAUCUCUGGUGGGGAAGCAGGACAACUGGCCUCAUGGGGCCUUUGGCAAAGGCAGAGGUUAAAGGCCACCUGCGGAGGGAGAGCACUUCCUCCCUCCAGCAACACUUCUGGAGCACCUUCUGAGCCCUGCCCGCCCUGUUCUUUCUCCCAGGCCUGGAGUGACAAGGGAAGGAAGAUGGAGCCAACGCUCAGAGCAGGGCUGGCCCUUGACGGGCCUGGCAGGGCAGCCUCAACCCUCCUUGGCAGUCCGCUGGGCAGAUCACUGCCCAGCCCACCCCUGGCAGCUUCGGCUCUGUGAUCCUGCGGGCCUCUUGGCCCUGGAGGGUAACCCACAAGACCAUCUUCCUAGAACCUGUGAUCAUGCUGUGCCCUGGGUGGGCUCAGACUGGGCACUCCUUUCCCCCAGCAGAGUUGGGGAAGGGAUGAAAGAGGCCACGGAGGGCUCAUGGGGAUGAUGUCCUUGGAGUCCAGCGGUGUGUUUGUAUUUAUUGUGGUGUGGAACAGGCAGCUCGGUUCCUCUCCUGGAGCCCCUGUUCCCCUGCCCUCCAGAGCUCAGCGCCUGUGGACCUGGAAAAGCCUUAUGUCCUUCCAGGUAAGCCAGACCAGAGGCAAGCAGGUGCUUGCCCCCGACCCAACCUCAGCAUGCCUGCUGGGCAGGGAUGGCAAUGGAGAGAGCGCCCCUGAAGGCCAGCUCCUCGGCCCCCUGCUCUCCUUCCUUCCCCGCUGCUGGCUGUUGGCCACAUACCUUCCAAAGCACUCACAUGUGCGUCCCUUGCCCAGCCUUUCUAGUGUGUUUACUGAGUUCCCACUAUGCACUACAAGCUGGUGGGCAGACGUCUCAACAUGCAGUUGUGGGAUUUUUGACCCUGCAGAGGUCAUGACCAAGGCAGAUCUUCACCACAGAUCAACCAUUCCCAGCCCUCUGAAGCUCCGGAACUUUCGCCUUGGACACAUCACCCCGCCUGUACACAGUAAGAAAGUGUCUGCAGGCUGGCCUCUCUCAGGACAUGAGAUCUCUCCUCUCUGCUUGCCCAGAGCAUCUGCUUUUCCUUUGUCCCUCUCUUUGCAGAGCGGCUCUCUCAUCUCUGCUGAACCGUGACCGUUCUUUUCAUGACCCUGCACAUUUGGUGCCUGUGCCAGCUGAUGGGGUCUCCAGGUGCCCGGGGUCCGAAUCUGUAGGCCAGAGGGAGCACUUCCAUCAGGCCAGCCCUCCCCGCUGUCCUAGGGCUCUGGGAGCAUGCAUGCUCGGACAUGGGGCCGGGGACAGCAGGACCCCACUCUCGGGAAUGGUGGUGGGUGUGAGAGUUCUCAGAUACGGGGGCAAACCCUGGAGCUACAGCUCCAAGAAGUCUUCUACGUUACAAACCCCACAGAAGACGUGUUCUUGGAAAUCUCUGGGGCGGGCCACACGGGUAACGCUCCCUUUUGCAGGCUUUAGAAAUACAUACAAGUUUCCAAGGCUUAAAAAAGACAUAGUUCACAUGUGACUAUGAAAUAAAAUAGUAAAAUAGGUCCCUGUUCUACA
ensembl:lncRNA